rnacentral:lncRNA from 1 species
UUUAAAAGCGUAGCCCCUCUCUCCCCUCUCUCUUGAUCCUGGUCUCACCAUGUGAUACACCCACUUCGCCUUCCGCCAAUAAUUGGAAGCUUCCUGAGGCCCUCACCAGAAGCAGAUGCCAGCACCACACCUCUGGUUCACCUGCAGAACCUUCCAAGGUUGAAAGAAAAUAGAAGUAGCCAAAAUCUAUAUCCUGAACCACGCACAAUGGAUUAUGGCCACAGAAUCAGUACAGCUGAUCUAAGGGAUAUAUACGAACCUGGACCAAGACAUGGGUGUCUUGCCUGAAUCAUCAGAGCUACUGAUAUAC